GACGAACGCUGGCGGCGUGCCUAAUACAUGCAAGUAGAACGCUGAAGGAGGAGCUUGCUUCUCUGGAUGAGUUGCGAACGGGUGAGUAACGCGUAGGUAACCUGCCUGGUAGCGGGGGAUAACUAUUGGAAACGAUAGCUAAUACCGCAUAAGAGUAGGUGUUGCAUGACAUUUACUUAAAAGGUGCAAUUGCAUCACUACCAGAUGGACCUGCGUUGUAUUAGCUAGUUGGUGAGGUAACGGCUCACCAAGGCAACGAUACAUAGCCGACCUGAGAGGGGGAUCGGCCACACUGGGACUGAGACACGGCCCAGACUCCUACGGGAGGCAGCAGGAGGGAAGCUUCGGCAAUGGACGGAAGUCUGACCGAGCAACGCCGCGUGAGUGAAGAAGGUUUUCGGAUCGUAAAGCUCUGUUGUAAGAGAAGAACGAGUGUGAGAGUGGAAAGUUCACACUGUGACGGUAUCUUACCAGAAAGGGACGGCUAACUACGUG
rnacentral:rRNA from 1 species